UGGGGAAUUUUGGACAAUGGGGGCAACCCUGAUCCAGCAAUGCCGCGUGUGUGAAGAAGGCCUUCGGGUUGUAAAGCACUUUUGUCCGGGAAGAAAUCGCACCUGAUAAUACCGGGUGUGGAUGACGGUACCGGAAGAAUAAGGACCGGCUAACUACGUGCCAGCAGCCGCGGUAAUACGUAGGGUCCAAGCGUUAAUCGGAAUUACUGGGCGUAAAGCGUGCGCAGGCGGUUGUGCAAGACCGAUGUGAAAUCCCCGGGCUUAACCUGGGAAUUGCAUUGGUGACUGCACGGCUAGAGUGUGUCAGAGGGGGGUAGAAUUCCACGUGUAGCAGUGAAAUGCGUAGAGAUGUGGAGGAAUACCGAUGGCGAAGGCAGCCCCCUGGGAUAACACUGACGCUCAUGCGCGAAAGCGUGGGGAGCAAACAGG
rnacentral:rRNA from 1 species